ensembl:lncRNA
AUGGUCAACAAAAAUCAGAUUGAUUAUAUCUUUAUAGCCAAAGAUGGAGAAGCUAUACAGUCAGCAAAAACAAUACUGGGAACUGACUGUGGAUCAGACCAUGAACUCCUUAUUGCCAAAUUCAGCCUUAAAUUGAAGAAAGUAGGGAAAACCACUAGAUCAUUCAGGUAUGACCUAAAUCAAAUCCUUUAUGAUUAUACAGUGGAAGUGAGAAAUAGAUUUAAGGGACUAGAUCUGAUAGACAGAGUGCCUGAUGAACUAUGGAUGGAGGUUCGAGACAUUGUACAGGAGACAGGGAUCAAGACCAUCCCCAAGAAAAAGAAAUGCAAAAAAGCAAAAUGGCUGUCUGGGGAGGCCUUACAAAUAGCUGUGAAAAGAAGAGAAGUGAAAAGCAAAGGAGAAAAGGAAAGAUAUAAGCAUCUGAAUGCAGAGUUCCAAAGAAUAGCAAGAAGAGAUAAGAAAGCCUUGCUCAGCGAUCAAUGCAAAGAAAUAGAGGAAAACAAUAGAAUGGGAAAGACUAGAGAUCUCUUCAAGAAAAUUAGAGAUACCAAGGGAACAUUUCAUGCAAAGAUGGGCUCGAUAAAGGACAGAAAUGGUAUGGACCUAACAGAAGCAGAAGAUAUUAAGAAGAGGUGGCAAGAAUACACAGAAGAACUGUACAAAAAAGAUCUUCAGGACCCAGAUAAACACAAUGGUGUGAUCACUGACCUAGAGCCAGAUAUCCUGGAAUGUGAAGUCAAGUGGGCCUUAGAAAGUAUCACUACAAACAAAGCUAGUGGAGAUGAUGGAAUCCCAGUUGAGCUGUUUCAAAUCCUGAAAGAUGAUACUGUAAAAGUGCUGCACUCAAUAUGCCAGCAAAUUUGGAAAACUCAGCAGUGGCCCCAGGACUGGAAAAGGUCAGUUUUCAUUCCAAUCCCAAAGAAAGGCAAUGCCAAAGAAUGCUCAAACUACCGCACAAUUGCACUCAUCUCACACGCUAGUAAGAUAAUGCUCAAAAUUCUCCAAGCCAGGCUUCAGCAAUAUGUGAACCGUGAACUUCCUGUGUUCAAGCUGGUUUUAGAAAAGGCAGAGGAACCAGAGAUCAAAUUGCCAACAUCCAUUGGAUUAUUGAAAAAGCAAGAGAGUUCCAGAAAAACAUCUAUUUCUGCUUUAUUGACUAUGCCAAGGACUUUGUGUGGAUCACCACAAACUGUGGAAAAUUCUUCAAGAGAUGGGAAUACCAGACCACCUGACCUGCCUCUUGAGAAAUCUGUAUGCAAGUCAGAAAGCAACAGUUAG